CUACGGGGGGCUGCAGUGGGGAAUAUUGGACAAUGGGGGAAACCCUGAUCCAGCAAUGCCGCGUGUGUGAAGAAGGCCUGCGGGUUGUAAAGCACUUUCGGUUGGGAGGACUGCUUCUAGCACUAAUAUUGUUGGAAGUUGACGUUACCUUCAGAAGAAGCACCGGCUAACUCCGUGCCAGCAGCCGCGGUAAUACGGAGGGUGCAAGCGUUAAUCGGAAUUACUGGGCGUAAAGCGCGCGUAGGCGGCUAGAUCAGUCGGGUGUGAAAGCCCCGGGCUUAACCUGGGAACUGCAUCCGAUGCUGUCUAGCUUGAGUACAGGAGAGGAGAGUGGAAUUCCACAUGUAGCGGUGAAAUGCGUAGAUAUGUGGAGGAACACCAAUGGCGAAGGCAGCUCUCUGGCCUGAUACUGACGCUGAGGUGCGAAAGCGUGGGGAGCAGACAGGAUUAGAUACCCCUGUAGUC
rnacentral:rRNA from 1 species